AUAAAAAAAAAAAAUGUGAAAAAAAAGUCAAUUCAAAAUUUUUCGCGUUUUUUGUUUUAUUUUUGGGGACAACUUUUCUUUGAUUUGGGAAAUUUAUUUAUAAAAGUGAGGCCUUUGUUACCAUUUAUAGAAAAUGAAAGCGAAAAAAAUCAAAAGAAUUUUUUUGGUUUUUUCUCUUUUAAAAUUUUUAAU
rnacentral:ribozyme from 1 species